GGUGAACGCUGGCGGCGGGCCUAAUACAUGCCAGUCGAGCGAACAGACGAUGAGCUUGCUCCUCUGACGGUAGCGGCGGACGGGUGGGUAACACGUAGAUAACCUACCUAUAAUACGGGGGGAACUUCGGGGAACCGCAUCUAAUACCAGAGAAUAUGUUGAACGGCUGGGAGCAAGAGUUAAAGGCGGUUUUGCUGUCACUUAUAGAUGGAUCCGCGCCGGAUGAGCGAGGUGGUAAGGGAACGGCCCACCAAGGCGACGAUGCGUAGCGGAGCUGAGAGGAUGAUCAGCCAAACUGGAACUGAGACACGGUCCAGACUCCUACGGGAGGCAGCAGUGGGGAAUAUUGGACAAUGGGCGCAAGCCUGAUCCAGCCAUACCGCGUGAGUGAAGAAGGCCUUCGGGUUGUAAAGCCCUUUUGUUGGGAAAGAAAAGCAGCAGGUGAAUACCCCGCUGUUCUGACGGUACCCAAAGAAUAAGCACCGGCUAACUUCGUG
rnacentral:rRNA from 1 species